rnacentral:tRNA from 1 species
UCCCUGGUGGCUCAGAUGAUAAAGAAUCUGCCUGCAAUGCAGAAGACCCAGGUUUGAUCCCUGGAUUGGGAA